GAUGAACGCUGGCGGCGUGCCUAAUACAUGCCAGUCGAGCGAACAGACGAGGAGCUUGCUCCUCUGACGUUAGCGGCGGACGGGUGAGUAACACGUGGAUAACCUACCUAUAAGACUGGGAUAACUUCGGGAAACCGGAGCUAAUACCGGAUAAUAUAUUGAACCGCAUGGUUCAAUAGUGAAAGACGGCUUUGCUGUCACUUAUAGAUGGAUCCGCGCCGCAUUAGCUAGUUGGUAAGGUAACGGCUUACCAAGGCAACGAUGCGUAGCCGACCUGAGAGGGUGAUCGGCCACACUGGAACUGAGACACGGUCCAGACUCCUACGGGAGGCAGCAGUAGGGAAUCUUCCGCAAUGGGCGAAAGCCUGACGGAGCAACGCCGCGUGAGUGAUGAAGGUCUUCGGAUCGUAAAACUCUGUUAUUAGGGAAGAACAAAUGUGUAAGUAACUAUGCACGUCUUGACGGUACCUGAUCAGAAAGCCACGGCUAACUACGUG
rnacentral:rRNA from 1 species